AGUGAACGCUGGCGGUAGGCCUAACACAUGCAAGUCGAACGGCAGCACAGUAAGAGCUUGCUCUUACGGGUGGCGAGUGGCGGACGGGUGAGGAAUACAUCGGAAUCUACUUUUUCGUGGGGGAUAACGUAGGGAAACUUACGCUAAUACCGCAUACGACCUACGGGUGAAAGCAGGGGAUCAUCGGACCUUGCGCGAUUGAAUGAGCCGAUGUCGGAUUAGCUAGUUGGCGGGGUAAAGGCCCACCAAGGCGACGAUCCGUAGCUGGUCUGAGAGGAUGAUCAGCGACACUGGAACUGAGACACGGUCCAGACUCCUACGGGAGGCAGCAGUGGGGAAUAGUGGACAAUGGGCGCGAGCCUUAUCCAGCCAUACCGCGUGGGUGAAGAAGGCCUUCGGGUUGUAAAGCCCUUUUGUUGGGAAAGAAAAGCAGCAGGUUAAUACCCCGCUGUUCUGACGGUACCCAAAGAAUAAGCACCGGCUAACUUCGUG
rnacentral:rRNA from 1 species